rnacentral:rRNA from 1 species
GUCCUGGCGGCGCUAACACAUGCAAGUCAACGAAGUACAUACUUAGUGGCAGACGGGUGAGUAACAUGUGGGUAUCUGCCCUUUGGCCUGUAAUACACGAGGAAAGUUGUGCUAAUACCGGAUAAGUCUUUACGGAGAAAGCUUUAUGCACCAUUGGAUGAGCCCGCACUUGAUUAGUUUGUUGGUGGGGUAAUGGCCUACCAAGACUGUGAUCAAUAGCUGAUUUGAGAGGAUGAUCAGCCACAUUGUGACUGAGACACGGCCCAAACUACUACGGGAGGCAGCAGUGGGGAAUCUUGCACAAUGGAGGAAACUCUGAUGCAGCGAUGCCGCGUGAGUGAAGAAGGCCCUUGGGUUGUAAAGCUCUUUCGUCGGGGAAGAAAAUGACUGUACCCGAAUAAGAAGGUCCGGCUAACUUCGUGCCAGCAGCCGCGGUAAUACGAAGGGACCUAGCGUAGUUCGGAAUUACUGGGCUUAAAGAGUUCGUAGGUGGUUGAAAAAGUUAGUGGUGAAAUCCCAGAGCUUAACUCUGGAACUGCCAUUAAAACUUUUCAGCUAGAGUAUGAUAGAGGACAGCAGAAUUUCUAGUGUAGACGGUAAACUUCGUAGAUUUCGCACGAUUCCCAUUGCGAAGGGGGGUUUCUGCGUCCUUACCUGCCGCUGAGGGACCAGAAGCCGUGGUUACGAAAAGAGUUAGAACCCUCGCAGUCACUGCGCGAACGAUUGUUGUAACGCUGGA